rnacentral:lncRNA from 1 species
CCUUGGUGCUUCUUUUUCCUGCUCGGUGAGUUUGUUUGUUUGUUUGUUUUUGAGACAGAGUCUCACUUUGCUUCCCAGGCUGGAGUGCAGUGGUGCGAUCUCAGCUUACUGCAGCCUCCGCUUCCGGGGUUCAAGCGAUUCUCCUGCCUCAGCCUGCCAAGUAGCUGGGACUACCGGCGCCCACCACCACGCCUGGCUAAUUUUUGAAUUUUUAGUAGAGAGUGGGUUUCACUAUGUUGGCCAGGCUGGUCUGGAACGCCUGACCUCAAGUGAUCCGUCCGCCUCGGCCUUCCAAAGUUCUGGGAUUACAGGCGUGAGCCACCGCGCCCGGCCUGAGUGAGUCUUAAUCCGUGGCCAUCUGCGUUCCUGCAGGCUUCAUCUGGCCCUAUGGUCCCCUGGCAUCAUGGCUGCCCUCAGAUCCCUUGUGAAGCCCAAGAUCGUCAAAAAGAGAACCAAGAAAUUCAUCCGGCACCAGUCAGACCGAUAUGUCAAAAUCAAGCGUAACUGGUGGAAACCCAGAGGCAUUGACAACAGGGUUCAUAGAAGGUUCAAGGGCCAGGUCUUGAUAUGAUGCCCAGCAUUGGUUAUAGGAGCAAAAAAAAAAAAAAAAAAAAAAAACCAGAAAGCACGUGCUGCCCAGUGGCUUCCGGAAGUUCCUGGUCCACAAUGUCAAGGAGCUGAGAGUGCUGCUGAUAUGCAACAAAUGAGAAGAAUAAUGUCUGGGGUGAAGGUGAAGCACCCAGCCCAAGACUCAGCAGCCAGGAAGUGGCCCAGCGCUCUUUAUACCACGGGUGCAGGAAUUCACACAGAAAAGUGGAGGCCAAGGCGUGAGAAUUCCUCAAUGACUGCCCUCUAAAGGAAGAGGACCAGGCUUCCUGUCAGAGACUGAGGACCCAGGAAGAAACAUGUCUCGGCCCCUGUCCCCCUCCACAAUUCAGAGGCCACAUUCUAACAGGGGAGGCUGACCAAUUAAACAGAUAAUGACACCUCCUAGAGCUAAGAGCUCUCCGACUAUGAACCAGAUGCCUGGAGAACACGGAUGAAUGGUCUGAGCAUGAGCAGGGGUGGGAGGCAGCGUUAAGGGAGGCAUCAGAGUCAGAACCUAGCAAACAAGUGUUUGUGAAGAAGAAUUCAUAGAAAAGGGCAAUGCGGGCAUCACAUGGGCUAAGGAACAGAGGGGUAGCAGUAGCUGUUGUGCCAAGCUGCAGGUGUUAUACACUACCCUCUAGAUCUGGGUUUCCUUAAAACACCUUGAGAGGACAACCCUGCAAAGCACGGCACAGUGGCCGAGAGGGAAAGGAGCAUUCGAGGUCUCAGUCCUCGCUCUGAGCCUACUUCUCUGCUUCUGGGCUCCAGCCAUCUUUGUGGAAAGGGGGCUGCUAGUGACACCCUCUCAAGGGUCUUUCCAGCUCUAGGUCGGCUGUGCUGGAGUCUAGGAUUUGCCCACUGAGAAAUCUGUUUCCAAGUUCCUUCAACCUGAUGCAUCCUGCAGCAUCACGGCAGCUGUUCAGAGUGGUCAGAAGGCCCCUGAAUGAGCUCAGUAGAGGGAAGCCUGGGAACAGGGAGGCACCUGCAGCUCUACUCAUGGCCUGGCCAGAGCUCAGCAGCUCUUCUCUGCCAUCUAGUGGGGAUGGCAUACCAUCACUGGGGACCACCCUGUGCAAACUGGUGAGCCUGAGUGCCUGUCACAGAGGGAAAGAAAGGGGGGGGAUACAGGAUUUAGAUGAAAUAGCAACUCCUACCCUAUUGUCAAAAUCAUCCAGCUUUUUCAAAACAUCAUAUUGUACUGAUUUUUUUGUGUUUUUGACAGAGUCUUGCUGUGUCACCAAGGCUGGAAUGCAGUGGCAUGAUCUCGGCUCACUGUAGCCUCUGUCUCCCUGGUUCAAGCAAUUCUGCCCCAGCCUCCCAAGUAGCUGGGACUACAGGCAUGCGCCACCACACCCAGCUAAGUUUUGUAUUUUUUUAGUAGAGUCAGGGUUUUACUUUGGCCAGGCUGGUCUUAAACUCCUGGCCUCAACUGAUCUGCCUGUCUCGGCCUCCCAAAGAACUGGGAUUACAGGCAUGAGGCACCGUGCCUGUCCCAUGUUGUACUUAAUAGAUAUUUACCAUAUACAAUUAUUUUUUAAUUUAAAUAAAUCAAUGAACAGUGUUAUUUUUUAAA